rnacentral:RNase_P_RNA from 1 species
CCAGACGGUUGGACGACCGCUGUCGGAUGCAAAUCCGGUGGAGGAAAGUCCGGGCUCCACGGAGAUACGGUGCCGGUUAACGACCGGCGGGGGCGACCCCAGGGACAGUGCCACAGAAAACAAACCGCCAGGACCGGAUCUCCUUCGGGAAAGCCGCUUCAGGCAAGGGUGAAACGGUGCGGUAAGAGCGCACCGCGCUUCUGGUAACAGCGGCGGCAGGGCAAACCCCACCGGGAGCAAGACCGAAUAGGAGCGGCCGGCGGCUGCGAAAGCAGUGACGCAGGGGCAUUUCCGCCCUGUCGCUCGGGUUGGUCGCGCGAGGCGUGCAGCAAUGUAUGCCCCAGAGGAAUGGUCGUCUCGUGCCUCGGCACGAACAGAACCCGGCUUACAGACCGUCUGGCAAU